AUUAAACGCGGCAUAAAAUUGUCUUCUGUCUGCGGGAAUUUGUUCAAGCUGCGGGGAGGAGAGGAAGGAGCAGGAGGAGGAAAUCUCCGUCUCCCAGCGGCUCUGCCCGCACCAUCCCUCCCCAAAAGUUUCCCACUUGAGGCGGUGGGAAGGGAAGGGAGCGGGGCUCCCCUCUCCGCCUGGCCCUGGCGCAGCCGGGCUGAGCUGCUUGGUACUCCGCUCACAUUUGCUCUCGCCUCCCAAAACUGUUGCGAUCAAAACGCUGGAUCAGCAGCAGCUCGCACGCACACGCCAUCGGCAGAUUUCCCCAUUUUUUUUUUUUUUCCCCCAUCUAAGGGCUGCAGCCUCCCUUUUUUGACACCCUCCCACCCCUCUGGCUUUUUCCCCCUCGCCCCCCGGCUCCAGCGCCCCGCUCACCCCGGGGGAGGGCUGGGGGAGCCGGGACCCCCCCGGGCCGGCCCCACGGAGCCGGGACCCUCCAGUUCCUCCCGGGGAGGGCUCGGGGAGGCUCCCCCCGACCCCCCGACCCCUCGCCCCCGGCCCCGAUCGCGGCGGGUCCCGCCCGGGGAGGCGGCGGCGGGGGAAGUGGGAGGAGAGGCGGCGGAGCGCCUUGCCUCCCGAGGCAUCAGACGUGGGGAAAGGGAGGGGAGAGAGGGAGAGAAAGAGAGAAACGCGCCGAGGAAGGCAGGGAAGGACUGGGGAGGCCGGGCUGGGGAGGGUCCCGCUCCCUCCCGUGUCCGGAGGACCAAGGGGACAGUCGCUUUGGGGCGGCCACCCCCGCGCCCCCCCCUCCUCGGCGGGGCUCUCCCAUGUGCUGCCGGCACCGGCCUGCGAGUAAGUACCCGGCUGCCCCCGGAGCCCCGGGAUCCCCUUCCUUUCCCCCACCGCCUUCUUUCCCCUUCCCUUCCCCGCAGCGACACCCGGCUGCAUCCCCUCCCCGUCCCAGCGGACCCCCCGGUCCCCCUUCCCCUCCUGCCCUCCCAACCCCACACCUUCCCGCAUCCCUUCCCCUCCUCGCCCCCCGUCUUUCCCGGAUCCCCCAGCCGCUCCGGACCUCUCUCCCUUCCCCUCUCCCCUCUCUGUCCUCCUGCUCCCCCCCGGACCCCCCUGCAGCCCUGCCAGCCCCUCGCCCCCCUCCCGCCCCGCAGCCUUCCCCUCGCAUCACCCCGGCGAGUUUCGCUUCCCGGCCCCCGCCUUCCCUCGGCCCCCCCCCCCCCCCCCCCAGCUCUCCACCGCCCCCUCCUGCUUUAG
rnacentral:lncRNA from 1 species